CACUAGGAAGCUAAGCAGGGUGUAGCGUUAGCCUUUUAAGCUAAAGAUUGGUGACUCCCAACCACCUCUAGUGG
rnacentral:tRNA from 1 species